AUAAAUUUCCAAGUUGUUUAAGCUUAAUCGGUGGCGCUUGGGAUAACAUAGGCUCUCCCAUCCAACUCCUAUUCCGACACGUUCUCGUCAUGCAGAGUGGUAACAUAUGCCUCCAUAUAUCCUAGCUUGGGCACACGGGCUAGAUCCAACCCCUUGGGCGGAUGGUGGCAUAUGGCGAACCAGGAGGGG
rnacentral:ribozyme from 1 species